GAAAGUUUGGUGCUUAUGUUGCUUUGCUUUGAUUCUAUGUAAACUCUUAUGCUUUUCUUUGUGAUUUUUUAUGUUAUGGGAAACUUAACUCAUUUUCUAUUUCAUCUUGAUUCAAGGACCAUUGGUGAUGUUGAAUAGGUGAUGGAAACUUAAAGAAAAGCAAAAGAAAUCAAGCUUUGGAAAAUAGCCAUGGAAGAGAAAGUUUAGACUUCAAGUUUUUUUGACUUACUUGAUUCAUUAUUAAACUUAUUACUUUCUUUGUCUUUAUUACUGUUCUGAGUUCAAUAUUUGUUGUGUUCACUGGUGUUACAAUUCAGUUUUGUUUAUUUUCGUAAGUUAAGACUUUAUAAUUACUGGAAUAUGUCUCUGGUGUUUCUAUCCAUUAAUUACUUCAGGAAUAUGGACCGUUCAAGGAGCCUGUUAUUCAAAAUUAUACCAGCAUAUUGUCUCUGGACUUGCGUAUCUAUAUGGACCGUACACAAGCAUAUUGUCUCUGGACUUGCGUAUCUAUAUGGACCGUACACAGGGGCUAACAUACUGGUUGUUCUUAAUGGUGAAAUCAAACUAGCAGACUUUGGAAUGGCUAAGCAUUUAACUUCUGCUGCUUCAAUGUUUUCAUUCAAAUGAAGUCCGUACUAGAUGGCACCUGAGGUUGUAAUGAACACAAAUGGCUAUAGCCUUCCGGUUGAUAUAGGGAGCUUAGGAUGCACACUUAUUGAAAUGGCAACGUAAGAAUGAUCUCACUCCGGAGGAAGAGGAGGAAGUUUGUCAUAAAAAUCAGUGGGCUUUUGAAUGAAUUUCUUCAAGGAUAUGUCUAGUGGGUUUAUGUUAUAUAUCUUUUUAUUCAUAGAAGAAUUUUAAGUUAGGUCUAUCUAAGUUUAUUAGUACUUGAUUAUCUUUUGGUUUAUGUUUGUUGA